rnacentral:lncRNA from 1 species
GGCCAGGGAUUUAGCUCAGUGGUUCCGCUGCCUGCUUUGCAAGCUCAAGGACCCAAGUUCGAUCCCUGGUACCAAACAAACAAAUGAGUUCUGAUUGUGCCUUUGAUACAGAGAUGCACUAGGACAGCCAUUACAAAGCUUCAUUUGUGGACACAGUUCAUUUUAUAUCUUCAUUUGCAACCUGAUAUGUUCCCACAGAUGAUUUUUUAAAAGUCACAUAAUAAAGUCAAGUGAAUAGGGUUUUUUCUAAAUUACUUUAACUUACACAAAUACCUUUUUGUUUAUUUGCUCUUUCACGCAGGUUUACAUGUAUUAUUAAGCAGAAGUGAAGUGGCAUAUAAAUUUCCAGAGCUCCUACCUGUAAGUGAACUUAGUCCACCCAUGUUAAUAGAACACCCUCUGAGGUGUCUUGUUUUAUGUGCCCAAGUACACACUGGAAUGUGGAGGAGAAACGGGUUCUCACUAGUAAAUCAGAUUUAUUACUACCAUAAUGUGAAAUGCAGAUGUGAGAUGUUUGACAAGGAUAUCAUGAUGGUUCAGGUAAUGCAUUAAAAGCCUUCAAUUUAAAGGUUAUGGUGAAUCUUUAGCUCAUUAUCGCCGCUGAGCCCAGUUGUUCUUCUGACUCCCAAAUAUAGAACUCCAUCCUAGCCCUGCCUACUAAAGCUCCAGCUCAGGCCAACAACCUAGGAAAUGUCCGCCUAGAUCUUCCAGACACAUUUCACAUUUAGCCUGUUCAAAAUAAUUCCUCUUACUCUUCCAUACUAUUUUGAAGUUCCCUGAAUUUGGUAUGGUCUUUCUCAACCUCUGCACAUGUCUUUCUUUUCAUUCCUGGUCCCCUCCCCUCUUUGUUUCCAUUCACCUAGCUAAUUUCCAGUGUGUCUUAGACUUGGAUUUCGUAACACUUUCUCUGGUAAUUCUUCUCUGACACACUAGAACUUAGCUGAGCAUCCCUUUUGUGAGGACCCAUGACAUGGCGCUCUAACCUCCCUGCCACAGGCCCCACACUCUGGAUUGUGAGUGACGGUUUCCCUCUUAUUCCCCCCACACUGUGACAACUGCAUCACAUCUUUUCUUUAAUUUCUUUCUUUCCUCCCUUUUCUCUAGCAUAGUACUUGUGACACAUAGUUGUUCCAUGUUAUUGCUGAAGGGAUUUAGUAAUUAUUAAAAAAUUUUAAGAAAUCUAAUUUUCCCAUCUGCCUCGCAAGCACAAGGUCCUG